rnacentral:misc_RNA from 1 species
UCUGUCAAUCAUGCUGAACGCAGAAACCGUUUUCAGUGCGUAUUUCGUCGUUUAAAUAAAAUAUAACCCUGUGAGGACAGCAUUGAUUUGGCUCAUUGAAAACAGGAAUGUCGUUUUGACGUCGGAGUCAUGAGCUGUGUACUCAGGGCAUUUGGGCAUUAAGAGCCGGAUAAAACCAAAUCAAUUUAACCAAGUACGAAAACUCAUGUAAUAAUUUUGUAUAAUUUAUUCAGAGUUAACAAUACAUUUUAGUAAUUAUAUUAACGAAAGCUGUAAACACUGGAUGUAAACAAUUUUCGUAAACUUUAAAUCAUGAGGCAGUCAGUAGUAUAUCUAGCAGACAAAAACUGGAGGAGAAAAAAACAUGUUGUAGUGCGCUAUUAACGUAUCUGGUCCGGGACCAAGUAUAGGGGUAUAUAUGAUAUUUCCCUCUUCGUGAACAGGAUUCAAUGACACCAUAAGCAGAGAGAUGGCAGUUAAAUCAACACUUCUUUACAUAUUGGGCAUGUUGUGGACAGUAGGGCCGGAAGUUUUUGCACAGAGUUCCAAAUGUUCACCACCAGCGCCACCUGGUGGAAUCCGCGAAGGAGGAUGGGCGAUUGCUCUCAUGGUACUGGCUGCGCUUGGUAUUUUAAUCGUAGUCAUAUUUGAGAUCUACCUCAUGGUGAAUAUUGCUAGAUCUGGACAAUGGAAGUCAAUAUGGCUCGGACAGACCCUUCUCCUGGGUAUUUUUCUGUGUUAUUUACUGUGUUUCGCAUUUGUUCCUGUGCCUACAAGAUCUUCCUGCCAAUUGAUUCAGUCUAGCACAGGUGUUGUGUACGCAAUGUGCUUUUCGGUGCUAUUUGUUAAACUAUUGGUACUUCUAGGCUCGAAGGAAAAAGAGCUCAAAAUAUCACAUGACCAUGACGGACCUGAUGUCGAUGUGGGUAAUUUAAAGGAUUUUAAAUCUCACGAUGAGGCAACCCAGUAUAAACUUCCUGGACUAUUCCAAGUAGUCCUGUUUUUAUUUUCCUGGGGAAUACAGAUUGUGAUUGAUGUUGAAUGGGUCGUGCUCAGGCCAGGGCAUAGCAAGCAAAAUCGAUCUGGAGAUGGAAACUGGUACUGUGUUUUAAUGGAUGAUACGUCAGGGGAUGACCCAAAUUGCCCUGGCGUAAUGUCAGAUUCAUGGAAAACAUAUUUCAUAAACCAUAUCAUAUCAUUAGUUUAUAUCAUGCUCCUCAUUGUAAUUUGUGUCUUGCUAGCUUUGCGAUGUCGACGCAUUGCUGCAAAUUUCCACGAAGCAGUCUAUAUAGGACUUGCAUCCGGCUUGUGCAUACCUGUGUGGAUUGUAUGGAUCUUAAUUGGAGCACUCUCUCCGGGGCAUUCAUUCCAUGCCCCGGCAACUGGAUUUGGACUAUGGGUCACUGCAACGGUCCUGUUAUUUGCUAUGUUCUUACCUAAGGUAAAACAGUUGAACUCAAUGAGAAAAAACACCAAGAAAUCAAUUGGUAAAGAUCACGUCGACAAUGCAAUUGUGAAAAAUAACAACCACGUCAGCGCUGAUAAUGUUAGCAUUGUGUAUACUGUUCCCCAGAAGCAAAUAUAUGGGGAUAGCGUCAGUCUAGUGCUCGCUAAACCUGAAUACAGGACACGUAGUAGGCCACACUCUGUGGUUAAUGGCGCUGUGGUACGCUCACACGAUGCCAAUAAUGUUACUUAUGUCAACCAUGCAUUCAAUCCAGAUGACUUCAAACCACGAUCGGCAUCUGUGAUAUACGAAGAAUCUCCGGAGAAAGCCGAGUCAAUCAUUUAUGAACAACACGUCGAAAGCGAUCCAAAUGCACUUUAUGUGCGACAUCCGGGUAGUUUACGUGACCUGCGAUCAAUAGACAGGACACCACAGCCCACAUUGGUGCGUACGACUCGCCCCACGAGCGGGGCGUACUCCAACACGCGUUUGCACUACGUGCACUAUAACAAUAGACGCCCUCCAUCGAGGCCACAGUCUGAGGUUGCGUACCCCGUUAGUAGCAGACCCAAGCACGCCUACAUUCACAGGAACGGCUCUGCCUUGGGGAGCCAAAACUCUGGUCUAAACCUGAUAGCAGGCUCUGGAGUCCGACAUCACCAUGGCUCGUCAACUAGUCUUCACAAGAUCCCCAGACAAGGCACCCAUCAGAUGAUCAUACAAGACAAAAGACAUACAUUACCUCCUCAUAGAAACAACACCCGUUACGUCAUGAACGAACCAAACAAAAUGCAACUGAUCGAGAACUCUAAUUAUCACAGUAUCGUUUAGUACAAAAAUCCAGAUAUUCUCAUAAAAGUUCAUGAACCUGGGUAUGGCCCAUGGUCAAUUCACAAUACUGAAUGCAGAUGUAGGUCAUCAUGUUGAAAUGUGUAUUCUUGUUGCAUCUGCAAAGCUACUACUCUCCAUACAUAAAAUCUCAAAUCCAGUGUUUCCUAAGUAAUUAUGGUGAUCGGAAUAAUGAGAUGGUCGCUCGGUUUCUUGCAUGAUAUUUAGACAUGGUGCUUAAAAAACAAAUUAGCUUUUUUAGGUCAAUAGGCCAAAAUGGGCAGGGCAAAUUUGAAUUGAGGAAAAUCCACAAAAAUGAUAUGAAUGUUUUUAUUCGGAUGUUAACAGUUAUGGCAGACUACGGUUCAAAAUAAGAUCUAAAUGAUAUGAUGCAUUUGUACGUUGAUAUUUCUCCAAUGUUUGUGAAAGUUUGGAAUUACAUUAAACGUGAUACAAGACAACGAAUGGAAUUCAAUUUCCCAUCUGGAAAAACUUUGGGCGAGAAAUGAGUCAUUGCAACUCGCCAAUCUUGGGAUGCCAUUAUCAUAUUAACGCAUUUACACAUAUAUUUAUUUACUAUCUACAUUAAAGUUAACAUCUUUAGUUUAACUGCCAAUGCAUAAUACUCUGAAAAAUGUAUACCUCCUAUCCAACCAUACAUGUAUGUGUAUUAUUAAAGCCCCCAUGAUAUCAUGUGCCACACAGUACGAUGGCUUUACAAGGGGGGCUAUCCUCUCUUGAAUAUUAAAUAUGAUGAAGGGAAGGAUUAUAAUAUGAAGUGUAUUCUCAUUUUCAACUUCCAAGGUGUUCUGAAGUUGGAGCAAUUGAAAUCUCAUGAAUCAAGAUGGUGUAAAAUACUAUAUUUUUGGAGCUGCUUUUUGAAGAUAUGUGCAUAAACGCCUCGUAUAAAUCCAGCUUAUACAUGUA